rnacentral:sRNA from 1 species
AUAUAAUACUGUAAACAUUAAAUAAAAUUAAAUACAAGAAAAAAGCUUAAUUCCAACAGCCAUCUAUGUUGUUAAUUUGUAGGAAUUUUCAAUAGAACAUAUAUUUGUUGGAAUAUGAUUGUUGGAAAUCUGUAUUUGUCACGAAUUUAUUAGAAACGUUUCCAUCGAGUAAUUCUAUGACCAAUUUGUUGGAUAGUGUAAUACCCCUGACUAUGAUUAGUAAUCUGUGGGACGGUCGCGAUCGUAGAAGUGCGACAAAUAAAUCGUAAACGUUUUGUUGACUUUUGAAAUAAAUGACAAAGUUUUUGUUGACUUGUCAUUUGAGUCAUGUCGUUAAGUAGGUUAACAUAAAAAAUUUAAGACGUUAAUGUCUCGUUUAUCUCCUCCGUAAAAACAAAACAACGUUGUUUAUUGAAGCUCGUUUUGUCUGUUGAAACAAAUUUAAACCCUAAAUCCUCAAAUCGAUUUCAUUAUUUAUGAUUUUGAGGCCAAGGUGGGUCUGUGAUUUUGAGAUAAUGAUAUCGAUUUGGAGAUUUAAGGUUUAUAUUUGUUUCAAGAGACAAAACGACGUCGUUUUGUCUCUUCAAUAAACAACGUUGUUUUGUUCUAACAGAUCAAAUAAACAAGACAUUAACACCGUAAAAAAAUUCUGUUAACCUAUUUAACGAUAUGACUCAAAUGGCAAGUCAACAAAAACUUUGUCAUUUGUUUCGAAAGUCAACAAAAACUUUACGAUUUAUUUGUCUUCCGUGAAAUUCAAGAUUAAAUCGUCCCAAAUUUGAAACUUAGUGAUUUUUUUGACAUUUCUCCCAAUAAUCAUCAAACAAAGAAAGGUUAUAGAAGGAGUUCAAGAUCAGUUUAGUAGUGAGUUGAGAUUUUAUCGGCUAUUGCUACAUAUGAAGAAGACUAGGAUCGGCUAUUAUCGGCAAAGGCAGUUAAAGCUAUCGAGGAAUUUAUUAGGACUAUCAAGAUUAUUAUCAAAAGAAUUCUUAUGGGCAAUUUGGUUGAUGGAAAGAUCA